rnacentral:rRNA from 1 species
UACAGAGGGGGCAAGCGUUACUCGGAAUUACUGGGCGUAAAGCGUGCGUAGGUGGUGAGUUAAGUCUGUCGUGAAAGCCCCGGGCUCAACCUGGGAAUGGCGAUGGAUACUGGCUCGCUAGAGUGCGGUAGAGGAGAGUGGAAUUCCCGGUGUGGCAGUGAAAUGCGUAGAGAUCGGGAGGAACAUCAGUUGCGAAGGCGGCUCUCUGGACCAGCACUGACACUGAGGCACGAAAGCGUGGGGAGCAAACAGG